AAAUUGAAGAGUUUGAUCAUGGCUCAGAUUGAACGCUGGCGGCAGGCCUAACACAUGCAAGUCGAACGGUAACAGGAAGCAGCUUGCUGCUUUGCUGACGAGUGGCGGACGGGUGAGUAAUGUCUGGGAAACUGCCUGAUGGAGGGGGAUAACUACUGGAAACGGUAGCUAAUACCGCAUAAUGUCGC
rnacentral:rRNA from 1 species